rnacentral:rRNA from 1 species
CCUACGGGGGGCAGCAGUGAGGAAUAUUGGUCAAUGGGCGCGAGCCUGAACCAGCCAAGUAGCGUGAAGGAUGACUGCCCUACGGGUUGUAAACUUCUUUUAUAAAGGAAUAAAGUGAGGCACGUGUGCCUUUUUGUAUGUACUUUAUGAAUAAGGAUCGGCUAACUCCGUGCCAGCAGCCGCGGUAAUACGGAGGAUCCGAGCGUUAUCCGGAUUUAUGGGGUUUAAAGGGAGCGUAGAUGGGUUGUUAAGUCAGUUGUUAAAGUUUGCGGCUCAACCGUAAAAUUGCAAUUGAUACUGGCAGUCUUUAUUACAGUUGAGGUAGGCGGAAUUCGUGGUGUAGCGGUGACAUGCUUAGAUAUCACGAAGCACUCCGAUUGCGACGGCAGCUUACUAAACUGCCCCUGACAUUGAUGCUCGAAAGUGUGGGUAUCAAACAGGCUUAGAUACCCUGGUAGUC